rnacentral:lncRNA from 1 species
CAUUAUGUCACUUUAUAUAAGGCUCUGUCUCCCUGGGAUUUCUGCUUGCUGGCUUGAUGAAUUAAGCCAGGUGGAAAGGUUUUCUUUAAGUGGGCAGCCUCAAGCCAACAGCCAGCAAGGAAAAAAAAACCUAUAUUCCACAAUCACCCUAUAUUCCACAACCCCGAGAAAAUAAGUAAGCUUGGAAGCAGAUUCUUCUCCAGUCAAGCUCCCAGAGGAGAACACAGCCAGGCUGACUCUUGAGUCCAGCCUUGUGAUGGCCCAGGUAAGCCAUGGCUAGGCUCCUGACUGAUAGAAAUUGUGACAUCACACAUGUGUUAUUUUAGGCUACUAAGUUUGUGAUAAUUUGUUGUGCAAUAAUAGCUUAGUUAAAUCAUGAUUAACCACUGGAAGAAGGAGGAAACCAACAUAUCUGAUGCACUGGACAAUGAAUAUCCAUUCAAAAUCAGGCUCUUCCAGGAAAGACGAGAGACACUUGGCUAUAGAAGUACAGAGAAGUUUUCUGCAAAAUGGAAAUGAGUAUCAUGAAGUUUUAAAUGAACAGUGUGAAACAGAAGAAAACAUCAGCAUUCAUUAUGUCCCAGACCUCUUUGAGAAUCUGACAAAAUUCUGGACAACCUCUCCUCCCACAAACAAGAUGUACUUGAAUACCUACACAUAAAAUGUUGCAUUCCAUUUUAGAAUGUGGAUAUCACUUGAGGCCUAUCCAGAGGUCUCUAAGGACUUGACUGGUGCAGUAUUGGUGGCUGCUGGAUCAGAUGAGCUCCCUUCUACUCAGAGAAACAAUCAAUGUUUGCAACCACUAAGAGGGACUUUUGUUAUUACCGCCUAUCCUGACAGAUUCAGGUGCUAUGACUAUUUAAGGGGCACCAUCUUGUCAGAAGCAGCAAUUCCAGAGACAAAACCUGGGGAGAUUUCAGCACCACUGGGUGUGCCUUCUGAACAGCAGGAGUGGGCUUCCAGCCGGAGCCCAGAUGAAGGUUAACUACAGGACAAUUUACCAAAUGGACAAGAGAUUCCCAAGGAUGCAGCAUUCAUAUUCUGGCCUCCAAAGAGAGACACACGAAAAGGAUGCCAGGGCAGAAUAAUAAAAGGAGCCAGGCACCUAC